UGAGAAAUAGACACUUUUUUUUAGAAAUAGGUGGAUUAGGUGGUUUUUAUUGGGCUUGUGAGAUAGAAACCAUGUGAGAUAGAAAAUUUGUGGCUAAAGUCCAAAAGAGGUGUCAAAUACUAUUGUAGCCUUGUGUUUUAAAAACAUAAAUUUCGUCUGGGUUCGAAAAAACAAAGACUAAUGGGUUUAAAAACAAAUUCGAGUCCCAUUUACUCUAUUUCGUUUUAAGUGAGCCCAAAUAUUGAGCCCGAAUGAAACAAUUCGUUUUUAUUCAGGAAAUUAUUGAGCCCGAGUUUAUUGUAGGGAUUGUUUUACUUUACUCUUCUUCGUUAUCACAAACCCUAGCCGACUGUGGUGUACAACAAAUCGAGAGGGAACGAGUUUGAUAAGAGAGACAUUUGAGAGAAACCCAAAUUCUUAUGGCGUCAACUAGCAGGGAAGCCUCUGUUGGGAAGCCUCUGUUAUAAGGUGGAACAACAAUUUCAAGGGGAUCUAGGAACUCAAGCUUAUCGUCUACCAUUCUCUUAAAGGUGACAAAAAGAUUCACAGAACUUUCAGACCUUAGAAGAGACUUGAACAUUCUGAAAGACCAAUCAUCUUUGAUUUCAGUCGGAGGUGUUUCCUGACCAUUGAGCCUCACCAAAACGUCGUUAGCCCAGUAUGACAUCUCAACAAACACGUCGUGACCAACCAUGGAGAAUCUUCGUCGGAUAACUUCUUCGAGGGAUUUGAAAGUGUCAAUUUUUUCGCAGUUAAUAGACUUUCCUGGCCUAGUUUUAUCAACUUUGAAGUCCCACCAACCAUUCGGGUAGCAAAUCCAGCGGCCGACCAUGGAGACGCAGGAUUCGUCCCCUGAGAAAAACGAAAACAGAGUCAUAGUAAGCGUUUACAGAGUCAUAGUAAACAAAAACGAAAAAUUCAUAAACUUU
rnacentral:sRNA from 1 species